UCAAACUCCUGACCUCAAGUGAUUCAGCCGCCUCGCCUCCCAAAGUGCUGGGAUUACAGGUGUGAGGCACCACAUCCGACCUCUGCUCUUCCUCAAAGGCCACCAAAUCAUGCCAGCUAACUGUGCAAAGAUGUUAGCCUGAUAGUCAAAGCUCUUCCCAGACUCUUAUAAACAUAGAAGAACAUAGCGGUUAAGAACAUGAGCUCUGCAGCAGGAUUACACGGAUUCCAAUCUCAGCUCAGCCACAUACUAGCUGUGUGAUGUUGGAUGAGAACAUUGAGGCCUAGGGCAUUUCAAUAGCUUGCCAAAGGGCUCAUCAUUCUCGGGUAACAGGAUGAGGCCAGACACCAAGGAUCCCUGGAUCCAUGCCCUACUCUCCACACUUGUCUUGGGUCUAUGAAGCCCCCAGUCCCAAGGUAAGUCAUGUCAUUGUGGAAAUUAAUUGCAACCUUUCAUGAUUGUCCGAUCCCAUCUAUGGGUUUCAAGGAAGAUUAUGAAGUCCUUAGAACCACAAUGUGUCUAAUUUUUAUUCUGUAUUUUAUUUAUUUUUAAAUGUCUGAGAUGCUGAGAACCUGAGAUAUCACUCAUCUCAUCUUCCUGAAUUUUAUGAACUAAGAAGCGAAAGCUCACCCAAAGCCAUUUAUAGAGUCUAUGGAAAAAGAAGGACUAGACCCUGGAUUCCGUGAUUUACAGGUUUUUCUUCUCCUAAUUUUCAAUCCACUCCAAAACAUGCAGAGAGAUGACCUUAGCAAAGAUGUUUAUUAGUGUACGUUGGUGCUGUUGUUUCGGGGAGGGGGUCGGAAGGUCUUGGAAUCACUUCCUACUGUGUAAUCUGCAAGCUUCCCACUGCGUCUUCCUCUUCCUCUUUGCUUUUUCCAGAGAUAUAAAGGGUGGCUGGUGCCAUUCUUCCAAAAGGAAAGCUGUCAUCUUUACUCACUCAGUCCUCAGCAAACUAUCUGAGCACUAUUUUUGUGCCUCAUCUGGGAGCUGGGGAGUCAGUGAUGGGCAAGAUAUGGUCUUUACUUGCAAAAUUCCCAUAGCACAUUGGAGAAGAAAAAACAGCAAUCAGCACGCAGCAAGAAAGCGGCUGUGUGGCAACCAGGAAGACAGCCUUUAUCAGAAUCCAGCCAUAUUGGUGCCCUGAUCUCAGACUUUCCAGCCUCCAGAACUGUAAGAAAUAGAUGUUCACUGUUUAAGUGCCCCAGUCUAUGGUAUUCUAUGAUAGCAGCCCAAACUGACUAAGACAUCAUUUCUUUUAUCAGAUGAGGAAACCAAUACAUAGAAAGACUUUUAAAUUUUCCCUAAACAAUGGAAGUACAUGCUAAGUGCAAUAGGGGUAUGUAGAAAAGAGUGUUCAGAUUUUAGGGAGAUUUCCAGAAAAGGCCUCUUCAUGCUGGAGAUGGCUUUUUUUAAAUAAUGGAAGGGAGUUCCCAAGGCAAUGGUUGAGCAGUGGAGUGGGAGCCCAGGUAAGAGUAUGCAGGUGGUAGAAACAAAAUAUUCUAAGACAGACGGGCACAAAACAGCAUGGCUUAUUUGGGGAACUACAAGUACCUCUAUGUUGCUGAUGCCUGAUGUUCUAGAGGACACAUUUCAAGGCAGGAACAAGCUGAGGGCAUAUCUCAACCUCCCCUUCCUCAGGGGCACUCAUCCUUCAUCCCUUUAGCAGUUUUACUCAGCAUUUGUUCUAGGAUGCCAGGCUGUGAGGUAAGACAGGUAAGUGAGACUCAGCCUCUACCCUCAGAGUUCACAAUCUAAUGGGAAAACUAAAUUAUCAUAAAGAUAGCAUUACAAAUGCAGUGCUUGACAUAUGCCUGGAGCACUAUGAGACUGUAGGUGAGAAGCAACGAAAAGAGGACAAUCCGGAGAAGGUAGCAGCUGUGCUGUCUCUUAAAGUCUGACCAGGUAGUCCAGGUGUUCCCUGUGUUUGAGGUCAAGGGGCAGCAGGAGAAGAUGCAACAGAAAAGCACACAGCACGAGCAAAGCCACAUAGCUGAAAAACAGCUAUCACCUGCAACAGCUUCUGCUGCUACAAUACCUGUACUCCUCUUAGAUUUUAUUCCAGUAUCAGCCAACAACGUGAUCUGACAGGACAGUCCCAGCCCUAGGAAAUGAACUAUGAUUCGUGCAGACCGAUCGAAGUCAUACCAUACAGCGAUGGAUUUGGGCAUGUGGGCCAGUUGGGAUCAAGGGAAAGGAAGCAUUUCCAUUUUGAUCAAUGGGGGGAUUCUGGGAAAGUCUUCUGCCCGUAAAAAGAAACAAGCCAGGAAAAACGUCCCCUUCCUCCCUGUAGACAUGGCUAUGAACGGCAGGAUGCCUGAAACUGUCCAGGCUUGUUAUGAUGGAGAGACACACUGCACAGGGUGGGGGAAAGGGGAAAUAUACCCUAAGAAUGGUAGACCAGAAAGAUGUAAAGCAUCUGUAUCCUUGUUGAAAUUAUAGUGCCUCCCAAUUAACAUACCUAGAACUGUUUACCUCUGGACAUUUCAUUAUGUGAGAUAUUAAAGACCUGUGUA
rnacentral:lncRNA from 1 species